UACGUAGGGGGCAAGCGUUGUCCGGAUUUAUUGGGCGUAAAGCGCUCGCAGGUGGUUCGUUGCGUCGUGCGUGAAAGACCCCGGCUCAACUGGGGAGGGUCGUGCGAUACGGGCGAACUGGAGGCCAGUAGGGGGAUGCGGAAUUCCGGGUGUAGUGGUGGAAUGCGUAGAUAUUGGGAGGAACACCAGUGGCGAAGGCGGCUCACUGGACUGGUACUGACGCUGAUGCGCGAAAGCGUGGGGAGCAAACAGGG
rnacentral:rRNA from 1 species